rnacentral:rRNA from 1 species
CCUACGGGAGGCAGCAGUAGGGAAUUUUCCGCAAUGGGCGAAAGCCUGACGGAGCAAUACCGCGUGAGGGAUGACUGCCUAUGGGUUGUAAACCUCUUUUUUCAGGGAGGAAUAAAUGACGUGUACCUGAAGAAUAAGCAUCGGCUAACUCCGUGCCAGCAGCCGCGGUAAGACGGAGGAUGCAAGUGUUAUCCGGAAUCACUGGGCGUAAAGCGUCUGUAGGUGGCUCAACAAGUCAACUGUUAAAUCUUGAAGCUCAACUUCAAAAUCGCAGUCGAAACUAUUGAACUAGAGUAUAGUAGAGGUAAAGGGAAUUUCCAGUGGAGCGGUGAAAUGCGUAGAGAUUGGAAAGAACACCAAUGGCGAAGGCACUUUACUGGGCUAUUACUGACACUCAGAGACGAAAGCUAGGGUAGCAAAUGGGAUUAGAUACCCCAGUAGUCCUAGCCGUAAACAAUGGAUACUAGGUGUUGAACAGAUCGACCUGUGCAGUACUAAAGCUAACGCGUUAAGUAUCCCGCCUGGGAAGUAUGCCNCGCAGUAGUGAACUACAAUAGAAGUUAGACGGCGUGAGACGUGCCGAACGGACGACCGACGAGGGAGGUAGG